GGGAACUCCAGUUGGAUUAUUUUCUGCUGAGCCACAGGGUAACUCCCAGUCCCUUCUUCAGGGGCUGAGGGACAGUCGGGUGCAGAGGCUUAGAUCUCUGGAGUCAGAGAGACCCAGGUUCCAAAUCCAUCUCUGUCCAUUACUCACUGGGCUGGGGUUACUGGUGUCCCCUCUGAGGCUCAGUUCUACCUCAUCUGUAAGAUGGGGAUGAUUCAGUUGGGCAGGCUAAUUAGAUGCAUACACACAAAGCACUGGCUUGUAGGAGGUGUUCAGUAAAAUCACCUUCACCUCCCACUCAGUGUUCCUGGCUGGCUGCUGCCCAGACCUUGGACAAAGGACAACAGCCCCUGCCCCACUCCCUAUCUCAGCCCCACUUUGGUACUGCAGUACCGUGGAUUACCACCAGGUGGCGUCUACCACACCUCAGCUCCCUGCUGCGCCAGGCUGCUACUUACAGACCUUAGCGAAUUUCCUUACUUUUCUUUUAUUGAUUUACUGUCGUCUUUAUUUUGGAUUAUACAGGAAGAGACAUCAUGGUUAUGUCAGGAUCCAGAGCUCUGUCCCUGGAACCAGCCCUGACCUCACCUUCCAGGGAGGAAGCAGGCUGAGCAGCCCUGGCCCAGGCAUCCUCCCCACCCCUGCUCUUCCUGGAAUUGGUGUCAAACGCAGGCAUGCAGACCCUGGUCCAGACAGACCUGGCUGAGUAGCUUUGUGAGUGGCAGCUUGUUGACUGUGGGUGUGACUGGUUCAUACCCACAGGUUGUUCGGUGGUCAAAUGUGUAUCUCAUCCUCCCUGAGGACUCGGAUAAUUUCCUAGGAAGCGCAUGGUGGCUGGGAGCACCCGGCCCUCUUUCCUGGAAUCAGUUUGUCCUAGGCCGAGAUAAGGCUCCAUGUAUUUGGCUAUGAGCAAGACCUACCCUAGCUGAGCCCUACAUCUCUGGAGUCAGACCCAGGUUCUAAUCCCAGCUCUGAGCCAGGUAGCAGGGGAGAAAUAAGUUGUGGUCAGACGUGAGGGAACAGGAACAGGCAGCAGGUAGGGGACGGAAAUUGGGCCCACCCAGUUCCCUAAGUGUGAGCAGAAGCUCCUGGGCCAGCUGUAAAAUAGCUGAUCCCAGGCAAGGCCCAGAAACCUGCUUUUCACGAGGUGAGAGCAGGCCAACUUGAGAUGGAAGACUUGUGGUCUGUGGUGCCUGGUAGGAGCUGGACCUGCUACCUGAAGUACUGAUGCCAACCGGAGAGCUACCUUCUCCCCCAGGAUGGGGCUGCCCUGUUUCCUUCUGCUUCUCUGAAGUUGUUGGUUAGGUGGGUAUAGGAAGGAGCUGGGACAAUAAGCAGGUGCCCCCCUUACCCCAGGAGACAUCUGACCACAUCCGGCUGUGAGGCAGCUCCCCGCGGCUCUGGUUUUCCAGCUCUGGGCUGGAAAGUGGGCUGCGGGUACAUGUCACCCGGUGAUGCUUGGGAAGCAAGAGCAGCAGCUCUGGUGGUUGAGGGCAGACACUGGGCCCUGGGAGGGAUGAUGGCAGAAGGCCUCAAAUCACACGUGCCAACCUCCCCCUUUCCCUCCAUCCUUCUGCCCCUGAACCAGCACUGGCUGCAUCACAAAGAAAAGAUGUUUCUGGGGCCAAUUUUAUUUUUCUUAAAACAUUUAUUUGGCAGUCCCCUCAGUAUAUCUCUGCACACACCCAGGAAUGUGGAGAACUCCCACGCUACACCCCGAGCCCUCCCUAGGCCUUGGUGACCAGGCCCCGCACGGCUCGUGCGAUGGCGUCCUUGUCAAUGCCGAACAUCUUCAGCAGCUCCGCGGGCUUCCCGCUUCUUGGCACCUGGCUGACAGCCAGGCGGGUGACAGUGACGUCAGGCUCACCCACCACUGCAGCAGCCACUGCCUCACCUAGGCCACCUGGACAAAGCAAAGGAGGUGAGUCAGGUGAUGCACCCUCAGGGUGAGCAGUGGGUGCAUCCCCAGAACCCCUGGCUGCCCCCCACCCGCAAUCAGUCUGAGUUUAUUCUGUCAUCCCCCAAGGAUGGGGGUUGGCACAUACACUGCCCUGCCCCACGCCUAUAGCCAGAGCAGAUGUCACCAACUGCAGUACGUAUCCUCUUCAUAAGCCCAGACGUGGCCUCUGCAUAAUUUUUCACCCUGUGCUCUGGGCAGUUGCACCCAGAGCACCUGCACUUGACCUCAGGGCCUAAGCCCAUCUCUUCCCCAGAGUGGACCUGCCGUGGAGGAGGCGGGUGGGAGGGUGCUCGUGCAGGGUGGCUUGGUGACAAACCCUUAAAAGACAAAUCUGUGUUGCCUUCCCCAUCUAAUGUGUGUAGCAGCCUUCACUUUUCACUACUUCAGGGGCCACCCUGUGCUCUUAGCCAGGCUGCAACCCUCACGGGCUUCCUGGGUUGGGCAGGGGCUCCAAGGAGCCAUUCCAGAGUUCUAGUAAGAGGCCAAGUCCCAGCUGCUCUGGGUUCCCUGGGCGGCAGCCCCCCAUCCUGGCAGUGGAGACGCUGGGUCCCAAGGCCCUGCUCUCUGGCCCAGGCCCGUCACCUUCGUAGUAGUGGUCCUCCACGGUGAGGAUCCUGCCCUUGGUCGCACGGGCACUGUCGAGAAUGAGCUUCCUGUCCAGGGGCUUGACGGUGAAAGGGUCCAACACACGGAUGUUGAUUUUCUCUGUGAGGAGAGAAGCAGCAGGUGGGCUGAAGGGAAGGAGCAGGGAGCCCUGUGGGGUCUUUGCUGGGUACCCUGAGGGGUGGCCUGUCACACCGAAACGAGCUCAGCCUGCUUCUGUCCAGACCAGCUGUCCCCUUAUGCCCGCUGUGCCUGCCCGCCCUCGAUGGCUCAUCCCCUCCUCUGCUGUGUGGGGCUGUGUCCUCCCCUCCCGGGAGCCUCGCUGGCCUCACUGAGGAGCAGCUGGUCACAGGGCAGAGGACGCCCCUCUCUCCCUCCCGCCCGGGGCUGCUGGUUCUCGGCCUUCGGGCUGCCUGGGAGCUUUCCUGUGUCCUCCUGGGUGUCUUUGAAGAUAAGAGGAAGUCACAGGGGAGGCUCCAAGGGCCUGACCCGAGGCAAGGCAAGGUCCUGUGGGUGGUGGUGGGGGAGCCGGGGCCAUCAAUUCAGGAGGUCACGCUACCAGGCCCCCUUCAAGCCCUCUCCCCAGACCCCAGCCUACCUGCUCCUGUCCUGGUCCUCCCCCAGCUCCUCAGCUUUGUUUCUUCUGCCUGAGAUGCAGUCCCUACUCAUACCUGAGAUCCUUUUCCUCAGGAUGCCACCCUCCCCUGCGUGCUCAGGCAGGACUGUGGUGCUGGUUGGGAUUCUACGCAGGGAGGCCAACGCCUGUCUUCCCCACCCUUGUGAGCUCGCUAUAAUAAUAAUAACGCCCAGUCACAUCUGGUAAAUCCUCAGGACAGCCCCCGGGGAAGGUGGUGGGACCUCCAGUGUGGAGAGGGAGACAGGGACGUGGAAUAACACCCUGGCAGGCUCCAGGCCCUUGGUCCUGGCCACCAUGCUGGGCGCCCAGGAGGUGCCCCAAGCCUGGCUUGCAUUCAUGCUCUCAUCACUGAGGUAGGUGAGAUUCGUGCUCACAAAAGGCCUGGUCUGCAAGCAGCGCCCCAUUUCCAACUGCACCUCGCUCACCCUUCUUACCUUUCUUGAGCAGGUCAGCAGCGGCCAAGGCCUCAUGCAGGGUCACCCCAGCCCCGAUCACGGUCACCUGGUCAUCUUUGCUCUUCAGGACCACCUGGGGCAGCAGGGGGGCGCCAGUUAGGCUCAGACUGGUGGCCUAGGGUGGGUCCCCAACCUUGGGCUCACCCUGCGGGGUCUCACUGGGGCAUAAACCGCACUGACCUUGGCUUGUCCAAUUUGGAAAUCUUCGUUGUUGUUAUAGAUGAUGGCGUUUUCUGGGCGGCUGGUCCGGAUAAAGCAGAUACCCUGGAGUGAAACAGUCACUGAGGAUUUCGGGAUGUAGCACAUCCAGCCUCUAGGAGCCUUUGCAGCAUGUGCCCCUCCAAACACUCCUCUGAAGAGAGCACCAGCCCCAAGCCCCAGAGGGAAGAUGACUGCUCCAUCAGGCGGACUGGCCUCCCAGAGAGGCCGCUCCCCUGUGGCUCGUCCCUGCCCUCGGCCAGCGGAACAUGAACCAUGCAGUACUCAGGUCAAGGCCACCAUUGGUCUCGGUUACCACAUUGCUCAGCUCCUUCUGUCUUGGAGAAUCCAACCCACGGGAGGGCAGAUAGGCAUCAACAGCCAGAUUGGCAAGGGCUGCCAGGAUGCUCAGUGGGGAAAGAGCGUGGUGAGCAAUUAGCAGUGUCUGCCCCGCAGAAGGAAGGGUGGUGUGUAUUUUGGUUUCCCUGGUCUAACUCCUCCAGGCUAUAACACCGGGGCCAAGGUCAGGAGACACCAUUCUGGUGCAGCAAAAGACAAGCUCUAGGCCUGCAUGCUGGCCUCCCUUCCCAAUCCUCUAUGGAAGGGCUAGCUGCCCAUGCAGAAAGCACAGCCCUGUGACCUACCUUUGUAUUGGCUGCUAAUUCCACUGCCUUCUCUGUAGCCACACCAUCGCUUGGGUAAAAGACAGUUGACAUGGGGACAGACCGAAACAUGGCCAGGUCUUCCAGGGCCAUCUGGGAGGGUCCAUCUUCCCCUGGGGUGUGGGAAAGGAUGGGCUGAAUUAAGACCCCAUCUGUGCAACGGGUUCCUGGCCUCACCCCCCCUCCCCCAAGUUCCAGAAGGUCCAGGGACGUCACAGGUAUUAAGCGCCCCGGCCCUGGCCCCUGCUCACCGAUGGACACGCCACAGUGGGAGCCGCAGAGGUUGAUGUUGCUCUCGGAGAUGGCCGCCAUGCGGAUCUGGUCGAAGGCCCGCGUGAAGAAGGCUGCGAAUGUGCUACAGAAGGGCACUGUCCUGUUGCGUGUGGCGCAGCCCACGGCGAUGCUCACCUGGGGGCAUAGUGGGUGGUGUUGGCCCCGAGGAGGGAGAGGCUGCUGUUAUCCUGACAAGUGUCAUUUCUCCUUGGCCCUUGCAAAUGAUGCUGGGUGUCCAUGGACUCUAGUCUGUUUCCAAAGUCCUCUGACUUGAAAUAAACCUUUCGAGUUCUCUGAAAA